rnacentral:rRNA from 1 species
UAGUAUAAUCCUACCAUUGGAUGGCUCGGUUCAAGUGCCGAUGAAGGGCGUGCCAAGCUGCGAUAAG